rnacentral:sRNA from 1 species
AGCAGCCGCGGUAAUUCCAGCUCCAAUAGCGUAUAUUAAAGUUGUUGCAGUUAAAAAGCUCGUAGUUGAAUUUCGGGAUUAAUUUACUGGUCGUGCAAUUGUACGUACUGGUUUUAUUGAUUCCUCCCUUCUGACGAACUAUGAUGUCAUUAAUUUGGUGUCAUAGGGAAUCAGGACUGUUACUUUGAAAAAUUAGAGUGUUUAAAGCAGGCUCACGCUUGAAUACAUUAGCAUGGAAUAACGGAAUAGGACGUUUGAUUCUAUUUUGUUGGUUUCUAGGAUCGACGUAAUGAUUAAUAGGGAUAGUUGGGGGCAUUAGUAUUCAAUUGUCAGAGGUGAAAUUCUUGGAUUUAUUGAAGACUAACUACUGCGAAAGCAUUUGCCAAGGAUGUUUUCAUUAAUCAAGAACGAAAGUUAGGGGAUCGAAGACGAUCAGAUACCGUCGUAGUCUUAACCAUAAACUA